UCAUCCUGUAUGCAUGAGAGAGAGAGGGAAAGGAAGAGAAAAGGAAAUAAAAAAAAAAAGAGAGAAGGAGAAGAAGAAAAAGAGAAGUGAGGAUCUUCAACUACCCGACGAGCCGAACGAUCCUCCACGCGCGUUGGAUGUUUCCGGCGCAGCUAGUUAUAGAAAAAGGUGUAUUAAUUAAAUAGCCAUGGAAGGGUUUGAGACCUAGCUUGGAAUUGAUUGUGUGGAAACCAAAUAGAAGGUAACACUAACGCGUUGGAAAGCUCGGAUCGGCGUUCCGACGAGCCUACGGCACGCUAAUAAGGAAAACCUCAUUUUAGCUUCGUUUGUCGCGAGCGAGGAUCGUGAUGGUUCAUAAAUCGCGGGAAGUGGAUUUCUCGCAUUUCGGCAUCAUUUAAAGGUUCUAGUUCGUGCGGGGUGGUCGAGAAUCGUGACGGGGACAGCGCGCUAUAGAUAGCGACAUCCAUUCAGUAUAGUGGUACCUUGUAUAUUUCAUCUGUUUACAGUUGAUGAAAGUAAAUGUAAAUUAUUCAUUUGAGAAAUGGCAAUGUAUAUAUUGGAAGAAUGAAUGUAAUAAUUAUGUAAGUUUUGUAUUUGAAUUAAAGUAAUCAAAAUACAAUGUAUGAAUGCUUUAGUUAGUUUA